ensembl:lncRNA
AAUACCAGACCUUAUAGAACAUGUCACCUUAUCUCAAACACUCAUUCAACCACAUAACUAUAACUUCCUGUCUCUGUCCUGCAAAACACCAGCCACAGUAGCCCCACCCACCCUAAGCCAUCCCCAAGACUUGAUGGUGUUACUUGGCUGGCCAUGAGGAGACUGUCUGUACUGGUCAUUUACAGUGGUGUAUGCUGGUGAUGUCUAGACCUAUAGACCAGUGGUUCCCAACCAUGAGGAGACUGUCUGUACUGGUCAUUUACAGUGGUGAUAGCUGGUGAUGUCUAGACCCUUUAGGCCAGUGGUUCCCAACCUGUUUUGGUUACUGUGGCCACCAACUGAAUCUGCUCCUGCCUGGAGUACCCUGAAGUACCCCGUCCUGAGGAUUUUACCAUUAGGCCUGUGGUCUCAUGAGUCUUCUCUAGUAACCCCUGUGGAUAGACCAAAUACCCCCAGGGUCUUAGUACCCUGGUUGGGAACCACUGCAUCAGGGCAUCCAGAAAACAUAGGAAACUAUCAAAAGUAUUGACAACACUGUAAUAUUGAGUCCAUAGAGUUCAUAGAUUCCCUUUAAUGUCUAUGUUCAAUGGUUAAUACAUUGCUGAAUAAUAGAAAAAGAUUCACAAAUAACUGUAUUUUUUUGCUGACCUCAGUAGGUGUUUUUGAUGGACUAAGCCCUGGAUGGUUUGACUAGUUCGUGUCUGUAGAGCAGGCAUGGUCAACCAUUGAUUCUGUUAGUCACUCUCAUUCAGAUAUAUUAAAAACUGCAAACAUUUCUCCCCACCUGAAAAUGUGUGGAAUUGGCCCUGCAUGAUGGGAAUGCUGACCUCGAGCCACUUUGGCCCUGCAUGAUGGGAACGUGACCCUCGAGCCACUUCGGCCCUGCAUGAUGGGAAUGCUGACCCUCGAGCCACUUCGGCCCUGCAUGAUGGGAACGCUGACCCUCGAGCCACUUCGGCCCUGCAUGAUGGGAACGCUGACCUCGAGCCACUUCGGCCCUGCGCAUGGGAACGCUGACCCUCGAGCCACUUCGGCCCUGCAUGAUGGGAACGCUGACCCUCGAGCCACUUGGCCCUGCAUGAUGGGAACGCUGACCCUCGAGCCACUUCGGCCCUGCAUGAUGGGAACGCUGAUCCUCGAGCCACUUCGGCCCUGCAAGAUGGGAACGCCUGACCCUCGAGCCACUUCGGCCCUGCAUGAUGGGAACGCUGACCCUCGAGCCACUUCGGCCCUGCAUGAUGGGUACGCUGACCCUUCGAGCCACUUCGGCCCUGCAUGAUGGGUACGCUGACCCUCGAGACACUUUGACCCUGCAUGAUGGUUACGCUGACCCUCGAGACACUUCGGCCCCUGCAUGAUGGGAACGCGACCCUCGAGCCACUUUGGCCCCUGCAUGAUGGGUACGCGACCCUCGAGCCACUUCGGCCCUGCAUGAUGGGUACGCUGACCUCGAGACACUUUGACCCUGCAUGAUGGUUACGCUGACCCUCGAGACACUUCGACCCUGCAUGAUGGUUACGCUGACCCUCGAGACCUUCGGCCCUGCAUGAUGGGAACGCUGACCCUCGAGACACUUCGGCCCUGCAUGAUGGAACGCUGACCCUCGAGCCACUUCGGCCCUGCAUGAUGGGUACGCUGACCCUCGAGCCACUUCGGCCCUGCAUGAUGGGGUACACUGACCCUCGAGACACUUCGGUCCCUGACAGUUGCCAUCCCUGCUGUAGACUCCCCACACUAGACGAACCAACCCAACCCCUCCCUCCUCCUUCUAUUUUCUAUUUCUAUUAACUUCUAUACGUUUAGAAGCCCACCCACCCCCAUGCAAAAAAAUAAUCUGAAAAUACCUACAGUGGGCAAAAAAGUAUUUAGUCAGCCACCAAUUGUGCAAGUUCUCCCACUUAAAAAGAUGAGAGGCCUGUAAAUUUCAUCAUAGGUACACUGACAGAUAUAUAUAAUAUAAUAUAUAUAUAUUAUUAAUGAGAAAAAAAAUCCAGAAAAUCACAUUGUAGGAUUUUUUUAUGAAAUUAUUUGCAAAUUAUGGGGGGAAAAUAAGUAUUUGGUCAAACAAAAGUUCAUCUCAAUACUUUGUUAUAUACCCUUUGUUGGCAAUGACAGAGGUUCAAACGUUUUCUGUAAGUCUUCUUCACAAGGUUUUCACACACUUGUUGUGUAUUUUGGCCCAUUCCUCCAUGCAGAUCUCCUCUAGAGCAGUGAUGUUUUGGGGCUGUUGCUGGGCAACACGGACUUUCAACUCCCUCAAAGAUUUUCUAUGGGGUUGAGACUGGCUAGGCCACUCCAGG